rnacentral:lncRNA from 1 species
CCAAGCUUAAGAGGGAGAGAGAGAGAGAGCAAAAGAAACAACUUCAAUCCAUCUUGAGUUUGAAUCAUUUGAGUGCAACCAAGAAAAACUAAACCGAUUGAUUGUUAGUUUGGAAGCUUGGGAAGCUAAGGGAACCAAAACUUUCAAGAAAUGGUGGAGGAUCACUCUUGCAAGGCUUUGACUUAAGGUAUAUUGGCUGAUCACCCUUUUCUUCUCCAUUAAUCAUAAUCAAGUUGGUUGUUAAGCUUAGAAUUGAGCUAGUGAUACCUAUUUUCAAGUGGUUGUGAUGAUUAGAGGAUUGUAUUUUGAGCUAGGGUUUUGAUUUAGUUGCUUAUAAUUCUUGUGGGUUAGGUGUUAUAUGAUGUAUAUAUAUAGUAUAUGAUCUUGCAAAGGUGAUGGUAGUGGUAGAUUCAAGAUAAAUGUGAAGUUUGGCUUGAAAUACCAAAAAUUCCAGAUUUCUGGAAAAAUUUCACCUUGUUUUGUCCGGUUCUAGUUCGUAUAGUUAGAGGCCGAAUUAGGCUUGGCAUAAAGCAUAAAAGUUGUAGAGAAUGGUAUUUUAUAGUUUCCUACAAAAUUUCAACUCAAUCGGAGCAACGUAGGACAUGAAAAGACCAAAAUACCCUCGCUGCUCUAGGUUAAAUUCCAGUGUUCCGCGUGGACAGUUCAGACUUUUUGGCUGUGUUUAUUCACUAUAAUCCGUUUGGAUUUAGCCAUUUUCCAAAACAUGAAAGUUUUAGUACCCUGUCUUAGCUUUUCAAUGCCACAAAGAACGCCUUAAAUGGACCUUGGUAGACUGAGAUAUGGCCAUUUGAAUGCAGUACGAUUGAUUAGCCAAAUAGUUGGAACCAGGUUAUAUGAAUUGGAAAUUUGAUUAGGUUACACUGAAAAUUAGCCUAAGUGCUCUUCAUGAAAAUUGUAGGUCUUCGUCUUAGCUUCGAAAUGGUAUAAGUUGCAUUUCAAUCCAAUAAGCGUAACCUCGGACAUGCCCGUUCCGCAAAAACCAGUCAAAACUGUUUUUUUGUAAACGUUGUUUCCGCACUUGAUAUUAGCUUAAUUGUUGUUCUCGUAUUGUUUUGGAGCCUAUGGAAUGGCUAUUGAAAUGGAAUUGUGUUAUGGAUAACUUUGGGUUGGAUUGAGUAAAAUAUUGAAGUCAUAAAUGGCUGGAAAAUGGGUAAAUACAAGGGGCAUGCCGCCAAAUUUUUACGAGAAAGAUAAACUAGUCUUCGGAGUCUUAGUUUUAUAUUUUGCAAAUUUAACUUGGAUACACUGAAAAAUGGAUUGAGUUAUCUUCAUGGAAGUUGUAACCUUUUGUCUAAGGUUCGAGACACUAUCUAGUACAUUUUGAUCUGAUAACCCUAGCUCCCGUUAUGGACAAGAUCGUGUAACCGUUUUGAUUAUUUUGACCGUUUUCAACUGUAUUCGAUCGUUUCAGUUAUAAAUUGCUGUUGUAUGGCCGUUUCAUUCAUGUGUGUAUAUAAUCUGCCCAUACAGAUCUUGAGGCUUUUGACGGUAACGGUCAAGCUCCGUGAAUUGUAUCAUUUUCGU